AUCGUGUAUAAUUAAUUAUAGGCCUAUAUUUAAAAUAAUUACAUUUUAAUUGAAUUGUACUUUUUAUUUCAGACCUCGUACCGUAAACACUGCUUAAGCGUCACAUAAAUAACUGCAAAAAAUCAGUCACAUUGUCAAGAUUCUUGACCACUGUAUAAAUUUGAUGAAAAUGGAAAAUUAUUGACCGGUGUAGCCGGGGUGUAGCACGCGUUUCUUUUUGUAGUCGCUGAAAAAUGACGCAACCGAACCGAGGAGUAUAUAAGAGCCCGUCCCCCGCAUGACGUCCUCUUGGAGUCGUUGCUAUCGCUUGACGAGAACCAUCUUCUCAUCAUGAGAGCGAAGUGGCGAAAGAAGCGCAUGCGCAGGCUGAAGCGUAAAAGGAGAAAGAUGAGG
rnacentral:lncRNA from 1 species